AUACGGAGGGUGCAAGCGUUGUUCGGAAUCACUGGGCGUAAAGGGCGCGCAGGCGGUUUUACAAGUCAGAUGUGAAAGCCCACGGCUUAACCGUGGAAGUGCAUUUGAAACUGUAAGACUCGAGUAUCAGAGGGGAAGGUGGAAUUCCCGGUGUAGAGGUGAAAUUCGUAGAUAUCGGGAGGAAUACCGGUGGCGAAGGCGACUUUCUGGCUGAAUACUGACGCUGAGGCGCGAAAGCGUGGGGAGCAAACAGGAUUAGAAACCCUAGUAGUCC
rnacentral:rRNA from 1 species